rnacentral:rRNA from 1 species
UACAGAGGUGCCGAGCGUUAGGCGGAAUCACUGGGCUUAAAGCGCGUGUAGGCGGGUCGUUAAGUGUCCGCGUGAAAUCCCACGGCUCAACCGUGGAACUGCCGGGCAUACUGGCGACCUUGAGGCACUUAGGGGCGAGCGGAACAAAUGGUGGAGCGGUGAAAUGCGUAGAGUAUCCACAGGAACUCCGGUGGCGAAGGCGGCACGCUGGACCCCCACUGACGCUGAGGCGCGAAAGCCAGGGGAGCGAACGGG